CACACACACUUUAUAUUAUCUCUCUCUCUCUCUAUCUUUAUUAAAGCAAAAUAUUCCUUCUCUCUCUUAAUUAUCAAAACUCACGCUGCAUCUCUCUCUUUCUCACAAUCCUUCAACUCAUUCCUCAAAAAUAAAUCUCUCUCUCUCUCUAUUCUCAAGAAAAAGAACGCUGCUCACAUCUCUCUCUCUCUCUCUCGCUCGAUUUUCUCCUCCGGCAGAGCAAUCGGCAGCCGCUGCUGCAAUUAGAUUCCGGCGAAGUCCAACAUCGCCGCCGCCGCUUGGGUCGACGGGAGCCGCUGGAGCUGCUGCUGCUCGCCCGGAGUCGACGGGCCUGACUCUUCACCUCGCCGUUGCUGCUUUACUCAUAUUCCGGCGAGGCAGCAAGGGCUCGUCGUCGUUCCCUCGGUUCGACUGAACAGGCUGAACUCAAGAAGAAAAUGGAGAAGUUUAAGUUGAGCUUACCUCUUGGGGUCCAGAUUGCAGCUGAAAUAAACUCUCUAUGAUUUUUGGUGCAUAAAGGAAGGAGGGGGAAUCGUAGUUGGUGAUUUUCAGGCUUCUAUGAAGCCCUCAAUUUAUAGGCAGAUUAGCCCGCAAAACUUGAAAAACUAUUUACAGCAAAAGUGGAAAUUUUGCUGCAACUUUUGACAAAAAUGAAAUUGGUUGGUGGCUGCCAUAUUUUUUUGACUAAUAGUGGAAUUCCAUAUGAGACUUUGAAAAGUGAAGUACUCAUCAUAGGGUGCGUCUGAUCCUAGUUGUAUCUUAGCAUGGCUUCAAAUAUUAAAUUGUGACUUUUGCAGGGAAAAGAGUAUGGCCUUAGCAGAGUUAAAGAAAAGGGGCUGCUAUGCGUGUACUAUCCAUAUUUUAUUUCUUGAUUUUGUAUACUCUAUUGAUAGUGUAGGAGCGUAGGGAGUGUGAGAAAAAAUGAUGAUUGUAAGUAAAUAGAAUUGAGGUGACUAAUAAAAAUCUCUUGCCUUGAUUAAUUAAUCAAGUAUUUGUAAAAC